rnacentral:rRNA from 1 species
CAGUCGCCGCGGGAAUACGUAAGGUGCAAGCGUUAAUCGGAAUUACUGGGCGUAAAGCGUGCGCAGGCGGCUAUAUAAGUCCGAUGUGAAAUCCCCGGGCUCAACCUGGGAACUGCAUUUGAGACUGUAUGGCUAGAGUGUGUCAGAGGGGGGUAGGAUUCCACGUGUAGCAGUGAAAUGCGUAGAGAUGUGGAGGAAUACCGAUGGCGAAGGCAGCCCCCUGGGCCAAUACUGACGCUCAUGCACGAAAGCGUGGGGAGCAAACAGGAUUAGAUACCCGCGUAGUCCCUGUCUCUUAUAC